UGGGGAAUUUUGGACAAUGGGCGCAAGCCUGAUCCAGCCAUGCCGCGUGCGGGAAGAAGGCCUUCGGGUUGUAAACCGCUUUUGUCAGGGAAGAAAUCUUCUGAGUUAAUACCUCGGGAGGAUGACGGUACCUGAAGAAUAAGCACCGGCUAACUACGUGCCAGCAGCCGCGGUAAUACGUAGGGUGCAAGCGUUAAUCGGAAUUACUGGGCGUAAAGCGUGCGCAGGCGGUUUUGUAAGACAGAGGUGAAAUCCCCGGGCUCAACCUGGGAACUGCCUUUGUGACUGCAAGGCUUGAGUGCGGCAGAGGGGGGAAUGGAAUUCCGCGUGUAGCAGUGAAGUGCGUAGAUAUGCGGAGGAACACCGAUGGCGAAGGCAAUCCCCUGGGCCUGCACUGACGCUCAUGCACGAAAGCGUGGGGAGCAAAACAGGAUUAGAUACCCUGGUAGUCCACGCCCUAAAACGAUGUCAACUGGUUGUUGGGAAGGUUCCUUCUCAGUAACGUAGCUAACGCGUGAAGUUGACCGCCUGGGGAGUACGGCCGCAAGGUUGAAACUU
rnacentral:rRNA from 1 species